UUAGCUCUGGGGGCCCACAGCCGUGUGACUGGUAUUGCCACCUCUAGCCAUUGAGCCACCUAAUUUCAUAUUCUAUGCUUUAUUUAAUUCAUUUAUUCAUUUAUUUGUAUAACCAAGGACCUUUGCAGGCAUUACAAUGAGGGGAACGACAAUACGGAGAGGUUAUGUUCACAACAUAAUUAGGAGAAAUAGGAAAAGCAUGACAAAAAUGACAUGCGAUGUAAACAUGAAAAAUAAAAUACUGUGUAAUACAAUGCAAUUAAGAUACAACACAAUAUUUAGCACAAGUGAGGGAAAGGUAUAAAUAUACAACUUUACAUUGUACAGGCGCUUCAAUGGAUUAUAAGUGAAUAACUGAACUGAAGUUAGAUAUAACUAACGUACAAACCAAACUAUAUAGUGACUGGACUUUUCAAUGGACCAAAGGUAUCUAAAAGGACGAGAAGCACAACUUCAUGGUUAUCUUUGCUUUAUUUGCUCGACAGUUUCGGUCAGAAACUGUUGGGCAAGUAAACCGAAGAUAACUGCAAAGUUGUGCUUCUCAUCCUUGUAUGUAUGUGUGUGCUAUGACUAAUAUAAUUAACUUAGAACAAGAACUGCCUUUACGUAAAAUAAAACACGAUGCCCUGCGCUGCCCCUGUGGCAGGAUGGCGAGAGGCUUCUGGAGGCUGUGGCUCGCAAGCAGAUCCCUACUGUGGUGGCAAUCAGUGAGAAUGACCGCCUCCUUUCGUACAACGUCCUCAUGGCUGUCUGCACCGUGCUCGGGGCAUCUCCCGAGGACCUCUGGCGUUAUGGCAAGAUGGGCCAGCUGCUGGCGACUGGCACUUCUGGGAGUUGGCUAAAGGUGCUAAGCUUUGAAAAUGGCACCCACUACCCAUUUGUUCGGCACCCAGACAUCUGCGCUGACGAGAUCGUCCAGCUGCUGCAGAGAACUGGUGCCCUGCGUUGAAUGAAUGCAAGUGAUGAAGAUGACCAGAGUUCUUCUAAGGCAGCUGUAUUUUGACUUGCUCCCCCCUCUCAAUAAGACUCUUUAGCAAAGUUCAUUAUAAAGAGCAUCUCAGGAAUGCGUCAGCUGAAUUCUGUGUUCACAUUCCUUUACGCAGUUCUGGAAUCUGCGAAAUGCUUGUAUGUUUUUUUUGCAGGCCAUCGGCUUUUAAUGCUACUGUGCAUUUUUUAUUAGUAAUGGGAAAUUGUCUUGCAGAGCAAACGUAUAAAGUAGUGAGGCUAUGCUAGUCCACUAGUCAAAUGUCACAGUUGUGUGACUUUGUGUCUGAUUGCACUUUCUGAACUACUGUUAGAACAGGCACGUAAAUUAACACAUGGACAGAUGAAGGGAACAGGGCAAGUGCCUGUGUUUGUUUUAAUUAGCCCCACUCUUAUAAUAGCUAUGCAUCACCAACUAGCCCCAUAAGAAGUACUCCUCAGAACUACUUUUUUUUUUCCUUUUUCAUUUUGUCCCACUCCUUCACCUUGUCAUGGCAUGCACUUAUGCUUGGAAGAUGCCACACAGACAGCUGUUUCCUUGCAGGGCAUACGCCUGAGACUGUGACUCAGUUUUUUACCAGUGGAUCUUAGACAAUGUGAUAUACCUGACUUGAGAAAGACAUUCAGUGUCGGAAAUUCGAUUAACGCAUGGAAAAUGCAAACUAUGAAGUGUUACAGUUUGCUGGAAUAAAGGCAGCUACAAGAGGACAAUUUACAACAUUAGAUUUCAGCCUGCUGGCCGGAAAAGAAUGCAAGGGAAAUGUUGUACCAUUAACAUAGGUAUUAUACAUUGUUCCCCUGGUUUUCAUUU
rnacentral:lncRNA from 1 species